UAGCUACAGGCUUAACACAUGCAAGGUCGAGGGGCAGCAUGCUGAUAGCUUGCUAUCAGUGAUGGCGACCGGCGCAAGGGUGCGUAACGCGUGAGCAACGUUGCCCGUUUCUGGGGAAUAACCGGUGGAAACGCCGACUAAUACUCCAUGGUACAUUUGUGAGGCAUCUUACAGAUGUUAAAGAUUUAUCGGAAACGGAUAGGCUCGCGUGACAUUAGCUAGAUGGCGGGUAACGGCCCACCAUGGCGACGAUGUCUAGGGGUUCUGAGAGGAAGGUCCCCCACACUGGAACUGAGACACGGUCCAGACUCCUACGGGAGGCAGCAGUGAGGAAUAUUGGUCAAUGGUCGGAAGACUGAACCAGCCAAGUAGCGUGAAGGAUGAAGGUUCUAUGGAUUGUAAACUUCUUUUAUACGGGAAUAAAACCUCCCACGUGUGGGAGCUUGUAUGUACCGUAUGAAUAAGCAUCGGCUAACUCCGUG
rnacentral:rRNA from 1 species